rnacentral:rRNA from 1 species
CCUACGGGAGGCAGCAGUGAGGAAUAUUGGUCAAUGGGCGGGAGUCUGAACCAGCCAAGCCGCGUGAAGGAAGAAGGCGCUAGGCGUUGUAAACUUCUUUUGUCGGGGAACAAAGGGGGCCACGUGUGGCGCGUUGAGUGUACCCGAAGAAAAAGCAUCGGCUAACUCCUUGCCAGCAGCCGCGGUAAUACGGAGGAUGCGAGCGUUAUCCGGAUUUAUGGGGUUUAAAGGGUGCGUAGGCGGUCUGGAAUGUCAGCGGGAAAAGCGCGGGGCUCACCCCCGGCGAGCAGUUGAAACUGUAGGCCUAGAGACGGCGAGGGGUACGCGGAAUGCGCGGUGUAGCGGUGAAAUGCAUAGAUAUCGCGCAGAACUCCGAGUGCGAAGGCAGCGUACCGGCGCCGAACUGACGCUGAGGCACGAAAGCGUGGGUAUCGAACAGGAUUAGAUACCCGUGUAGUC